GAUGAACGCUGGCGGCGUGCUUAACACAUGCAAGUCGAACGGGAUCCAUCAGGCUUUGCUUGGUGGUGAGAGUGGCGAACGGGUGAGUAAUGCGUGACCGACCUGCCCCAUACACCGGAAUAGCUCCUGGAAACGGGUGGUAAUGCCGGAUGCUCCGACUCCUCGCAUGGGGUGUCGGGAAAGAUUUCAUCGGUAUGGGAUGGGGUCGCGUCCUAUCAGGUAGUCGGCGGGGUAACGGCCCACCGAGCCUACGACGGGUAGCCGGCCUGAGAGGGCGACCGGCCACAUUGGGACUGAGAUACGGCCCAGACUCCUACGGGAGGCAGCAGUGGGGAAUAUUGCACAAUGGGCGCAAGCCUGAUGCAGCGACGCCGCGUGCGGGAUGACGGCCUUCGGGUUGUAAACCGCUUUUGAUCGGGAGCAAGCCUUCGGGUGAGUGUACCUUUCGAAUAAGCACCGGCUAACUACGUGCCAGCAGCCGCGGUAAUACGUAGGGUGCAAGCGUUAUCCGGAAUUAUUGGGCGUAAAGGGCUCGUAGGCGGUUCGUCGCGUCCGGUGUGAAAGUCCAUCGCUUAACGGUGGAUCUGCGCCGGGUACGGGCGGGCUGGAGUGCGGUAGGGGAGACUGGAAUUCCCGGUGUAACGGUGGAAUGUGUAGAUAUCGGGAAGAACACCAAUGGCGAAGGCAGGUCUCUGGGCCGUUACUGACGCUGAGGAGCGAAAGCGUGGGGAGCGAACAGGAUUAGAUACCCUGGUAGUCCACGCCGUAAACGGUGGAUGCUGGAUGUGGGGCCCGUUCCACGGGUUCCGUGUCGGAGCUAACGCGUUAAGCAUCCCGCCUGGGGAGUACGGCCGCAAGGCUAAAACUCAAAGAGAUUGACGGGGGCCCGCACAAGCGGCGGAGCAUGCGGAUUAAUUCGAUGCAACGCGAAGAACCUUACCUGGGCUUGACAUGUUCCCGACAGCCGUAGAGAUAUGGCCUCCCUUCGGGGCGGGUUCACAGGUGGUGCAUGGUCGUCGUCAGCUCGUGUCGUGAGAUGUUGGGUUAAGUCCCGCAACGAGCGCAACCCUCGCCCUGUGUUGCCAGCACGUCAUGGUGGGAACUCACGGGGGACCGCCGGGGUCAACUCGGAGGAAGGUGGGGAUGACGUCAGAUCAUCAUGCCCCUUACGUCCAGGGCUUCACGCAUGCUACAAUGGCCGGUACAACGGGAUGCGACACGGCGACGUGGAGCGGAUCCCUGAAAACCGGUCUCAGUUCGGAUUGGAGUCUGCAACCCGACUCCAUGAAGGCGGAGUCGCUAGUAAUCGCGGAUCAGCAACGCCGCGGUGAAUGCGUUCCCGGGCCUUGUACACACCGCCCGUCAAGUCAUGAAAGUGGGUAGCACCCGAAGCCGGUGGCCUAACCCUUUGUGGAUGGAGCCGUCUAAGGUGAGACUCGUGAUUGGGACU
rnacentral:rRNA from 1 species